rnacentral:rRNA from 1 species
AUGAAUGUCGCAAUAAUGCCGAGAUGGGUUUCGUGGAUAUUGUGCGGUGAGUGAGGCCUAUGGCUCCAGCUCAUUCAGGCAAAAUACCUUAGGGGCGAGCCCGUGUUGGCAUGCUCUCGGACGGGAGGGUCACAGUUUUGGCGUUCCAUCCAGAGGAACAAGGAAGAAAUCCGGCUAGGGAUUUCUUUCUCCAUAGGGAAUGGAACCGAGACCCAAUUCUGGCUGGACCCAUGGUGGGUGCAGAACCGAUCCGCGUGA